rnacentral:lncRNA from 12 species
GGAACAAUGUAUCACCAUGGGGACAGUCUCUGAUGACAGGUAGUUAAGUUCAUGAUAAAGAGCCCAAGAGAUGGCACCAGUGUGCUGCUAGGAAAUAGAAGAUAUAGCGAUGUAGAGCAAUUACUUUGGACUCACAUCCAGCGGUGUUCAAAUUCCAGACCGCCCACUUACAAGGCAACCUCGAAGGGCUAAAAUCUAACCAAUCAGCCAACCAACAAACCCUUGGCUUCCAAGUCAAACUGCAGACAGAGCAUAUGGAUUGGUCUCCUCUACCCCUUGGAGAUCCACAAAGAGAAGGAGGACAAAGAAAAGCAGCAGGAAGAACAGGAGAAAAGUCAACAGCAAAAUAGGAUGGUCAGUUUCCAGUGAUAACAACAAACAGAAGCCAUGGUCUCAGAAGGGGCCUGAAGCAGAGGUAGAAGCCAGUCAUUCUGCAGAGACCUCAGAGGCUACAAAUUAGGACUCAGUGAGGAUAGAGGAUAG